rnacentral:lncRNA from 1 species
AUGAACAAGGCGCGGCCAAGAGCCCCUUCCUUCACACGUGUAGACAAAGGGACCCAUCAACACAACCCAAACAUGCAGGGAAAAGUUUUCCCGUGCGCGCGACUCCACGCCAGCACCUCGCGAGGCGCCCAGGCCAGCAUGCACGGGACUUUCAGCAGACGCCCUCUGAAGGAUUUCAUUAAUGAUUAUUUUUCGCUGUGGAAUAUUUUUACUUUCCUUCUGGAUUAUUGGAUAUUCACAAUGAGAAUUACUUUCAUCGUAGCAUUAGACACCAUGGACAAACAUAAGGUGAGCCUGUGGACAAGGGAGGCUGGAUGCUGCGCAUUAGGUUAA